UCCAGACUCCUACGGGAGGCAGCAGUGGGGAAUAUUGCACAAUGGGGGAAACCCUGAUGCAGCAAUGCCGCGUGAAGGAAGACGGUUUUCGGAUUGUAAACUUCUGUUCUUAGUGAAGAAGAAUGACGGUAGCUAAGGAGCAAGCCACGGCUAACUACGUGCCAGCAGCCGCGGUAAUACGUAGGUGGCAAGCGUUAUCCGGAUUUAUUGGGUGUAAAGGGCGUGUAGGCGGGAGCGCAAGUCAGAUGUGAAAACUCAGGGCUCAACCCUGAGCCUGCAUUUGAAACUGUGUUUCUUGAGUGCUGGAGAGGCAAUCGGAAUUCCGUGUGUAGCGGUGAAAUGCGUAGAUAUACGGAGGAACACCAGUGGCGAAGGCGGAUUGCUGGACAGUAACUGACGCUGAGGCGCGAAAGCGUGGGGAGCAAACAGGAUUAGAUACCCCAGUACUA
rnacentral:rRNA from 1 species